UACGUAGGGUGCAGGCGUUAAUCGGAAUUACUGGGCGUAAAGCGUGCGCAGGCGGUUUGCUAAGAGAGAUGUGAAAUCCCCGGGCUUAACCUGGGAACUGCGUUUCUAACUGGGCAGGCUUGGAGUGUGGCAGAGGGGGGUGGAAUUCCGACGUGUAGCAGUGAAAUGCGUAGAGAUGUGGAGGAACACCGAUGGCGGAAGGCAGCCCCCUGGGCUAACACUGACGCUCAUGCACGAAAAGCGUGGGGGAGCAAACAGG
rnacentral:rRNA from 1 species